UACGUAGGGGGCGAGCGUUGUCCGGAAUCAUUGGGCGUAAAGAGCGUGUAGGCGGCUUGGCAAGUCUGACGUGAAAUCCCGCGGCUCAACCGCGGUAGGUCGUUGGAAACUGCCUCGCUAGAGUCCGGAAGAGGAGAGCGGAAUUCCUGGUGUAGCGGUGGAAUGCGCAGAUAUCAGGAAGAACACCCGUGGCGAAGGCGGCUCUCUGGGACGGUACUGACGCUGAGACGCGAAAGCGUGGGGAGCGAACAGG
rnacentral:rRNA from 2 species